CAAACGCGAUUCUAUUGAAAAUGGUCUUAUAUUUAAGUUCGAUAACGGAACAAUUUAUUCCGACAUUAAAACUAAACAGCGCGAUAAUGUCGUAUCCGCCCGACUCAAAUUUGCCGCGUCGCGCACGUCGGUUUGUGAGACGGAAACGGCACACGCGGGCGCGACGUCCUCUCGACAUUACGCGUUAUACGAAAAGACGUCGUCGCGGUUAUUUUCGGAGUUAUUUUUUUCGUCUUCAAUAAACCGCUGCAGCAGAGUCGCGCCGCCGCUGAGAGACAUAAUUAAUGCGUUACGAUUAUCACGCGACCAUAAUAUUGUAGUUUAUUGUAACAUAACAAUUGGAUAUCGUUCGUUAUAUCCGUACGCAAUGUACACACACACUCGUACACGCAUGCCGGAAUCACA